UUAUUUGAUGAAAAAUUGUGUUGUGGUACCAAUUAUGUGUUGUGACAUAUUCAUACUCUAUUGGUAUAUGAAUCAUGUUAGAUUUCAUGGAUGAUUAGAAAUAAUGAAUGGUUAUUUGGCUCACCUGAUGGUAUAUGAUUGGUUGUGAAAAUACUCAUUGUGGUUGGUUAUGGAAAUACUCAUUGUGGUUGGUUGUGAGAAUUACAUCCUCAUACUUAUUUAUGAAACAAUGGUA
rnacentral:lncRNA from 1 species